rnacentral:lncRNA from 1 species
GGUCUAGAUUCUGACUCGGGGAGUGAUGCUCCGCCAGAAAAUGUUCUGACCUUCAACAUGGAUGGUCCGCCAGAAAAUUAACUAGAUUUGAGACGAACUGAUUCCCAAGUUUGACCUCACGAGGUUAGACACCAACCGGUAACUAAUCUGGCUGGCGUCGGUCUUGUCUGCAAAAAAAAAGGUCAGCAGCACGCGAGGCGCGCGUGAUGUUUGACAAUAGAGAAAGGAGAUGACCCUCUCCUCACCUGUUAUCUGCCUGCCCUGAUGACUGUACUUAUGAGCGUAGAUGAAGUGGCAUGAAAUUAACGAUCGACACGACUGUAAGGACAUGUAUAACCCCAUUUCUCAAAAAAAAGAAAACAACAUCGAAGAGCAAAAGGCCACGCCGUCACCGUCAAAGCGCGGAGCAUCCACCGUGGGACGACGGAGGCUUUGUGCUGCAUCAUUGCAGAAUCCUUAACGAUCUCCAAAGGCGAAAGCAAAAGGGGGUCCGUCACGAGACCAUGGCGAGAGAUUCAUGCCGGGGCCGGCCGAUCGAGCGCGUAGGUACUCGCCC